GCAGUGGUGGUUCAGUGGGAGAAUUCUUGCCUCCCAUGCAGGAGACCCAGGUUUGAUUCCCCGUCAAUGUA
rnacentral:tRNA from 1 species